rnacentral:rRNA from 1 species
CCUACGGGUGGCAGCAGUGAGGAAUAUUGGUCAAUGGGCGAGAGCCUGAACCAGCCAAGUAGCGUGAGGGAUGACGGUCCUAUGGGUUGUAAACUUCUUUUAUCUGGGAAUAAAAUGCUCCACGUGUGGCGUUCUGUGUGUACCCUAUGAAUAAGCAUCGGCUAACUCCGUGCCAGCAGCCGCGGUAAUACGGAGGAUGCGAGCGUUAUCCGGAUUUAUUGGGUUUAAAGGGUGCGCAGGCGGAGGAGCAAGUCAGCGGUAAAAUUGAGGGGCUCAACCCCGUCGUGCCGUUGAAACUGGUUCCCUUGAGUGCGCGAGAAGUAUGCGGAAUGCGUGGUGUAGCGGUGAAAUGCAUAGAUAUCACGCAGAACUCCGAUUGCGAAGGCAGCACACCGGCGCGCAACUGACGCUCAUGCACGAAAGUGUGGGUAUCGAACAGGAUUAGAUACCCUAGUAGUC